rnacentral:rRNA from 1 species
UACGAAGGGGGCUAGCGUUGCUCGGAAUCACUGGGCGUAAAGCGGCACGUAGGCGGGUUGUUAAGUCGGGGGUGAAAUCCUGGAGCUCAACUCCAGAACUGCCUUUGAUACUGGGGAUCUGCGAGUCCGGGAGAGGUGAGUGGAACUCCGAGUGUAGAGGUGAAAUUCGUAGAUAUUCGGAAGAACACCAGUGGCGAAGGACGGC